rnacentral:rRNA from 1 species
GAGCUUGCUCCCUGAAGUCAGCGGCGGACGGGUGAGUAACACGUGGGCAACCUGCCUGUAAGACUGGGAUAACUCCGGGAAACCGGGGCUAAUACCGGAUAACUCUUUCCCUCACAUGAGGGAAAGCUGAAAGAUGGUUU